rnacentral:tRNA from 1 species
UACGUUUUAGUAUAUGAUGUACAGAAGUUUUUGAUAUUUCUAGGGUUGGUUUAAUUCCAUCAAACGUAA